rnacentral:rRNA from 1 species
UACGUAGGGUGCGAGCGUUGUCCGGAAUUAUUGGGCGUAAAGAGCUCGUAGGCGGUCUGUCGCGUCGAUCGUGAAAACUUGGGGCUUAACCCUGAGCUUGCGGCCGAUACGGGCAUGACUGGAGUUCGGCAGGGGAGACUGGAAUUCCUGGUGUAGCGGUGAAAUGCGCAGAUAUCAGGAGGAACACCGGUGGCGAAGGCGGGUCUCUGGGCCGAUACUGACGCUGAGGAGCGAAAGCGUGGGGAGCGAACAGG